rnacentral:rRNA from 1 species
CACGUAGGGCGCAAGCGUUGUCCGGAAUUAUUGGGCGUAAAGCGCGUGUAGGCGGUCCGGUAAGUCCGCUGUGAAAGUCGGGGGCUCAACCCUCGGAUGCCGGUGGAUACUGUCGGGCUUGAGUACGGAAGAGGCGAGUGGAAUUCCUGGUGUAGCGGUGAAAUGCGCAGAUAUCAGGAAGAACACCCGUGGCUAAGGCGGCUCUCUAGUACGGUACUGACGCUGAGACGCGAAAGCGUGGGGAGCGAACAGG